CCUACGGGUGGCAGCAGUGAGGAAUAUUGGUCAAUGGGCUUACGCCUGAACCAGCCAAGUCGCGUGAGGGAAGACUGCCCUAUGGGUUGUAAACCUCUUUUGUCAGGGAGCACCGCUGGCUACGUGUAGCCGGACUGAGAGUACCUGAAGAAAAAGCAUCGGCUAACUCCGUGCCAGCAGCCGGGGUAAUACGGAGGAUGCGAGGGUUAUCCGGAUUUAUUGGGUUUAAGGGGUGCGUAGGCGGAAUGCCAGGUAAGCGGUAAAUUCGCGGGGCUAACCCGGGCACUGCCGUUGAAACUGGCAUACUUGAGUGUGUGAGAGGUAAGUGGAAUGCGAGGUGUAGGGGUGAAAUGCGUAGAUAUCUCGAAGAACUUCAGUGGCGAAGGCGGCAAUCUGGCGCCUAACUGACGCUGAGGAGCGAAAGCGUGGGUAGCGAACAGGAUUAGAUACCCGGGUAGUC
rnacentral:rRNA from 1 species